rnacentral:lncRNA from 1 species
UUUAAUAUUAAAUGAAUAUUGUCCCAUAAUUCAAUUUUUUUACAUUUUAUGGAUAUUCAGGAAAAUUUAUUUCUAAACUACCUAAUUAAUCAGGAAUCUACUAUAGUUUAUAUUUUGCAUUAACAUAGAUGAUGAUUAGUGCUAAGAUAACCUUUAAUUAUUAAGUCCAUUGAUCUUUGGUUCUCUUAAGUGGAAAAUCACACAUUUCAACCAGAAAACUGUGGAAGCAUGAUGCCUAUUAUCCAAGUGUAUGAUCUACCAUCCUGGUAGAUUUGGGGUCAAUUCCUAGACUUAUAUCCAAAUUUUUUUCAAUGAAACUUUAGAUCUCGCUUGUUGAAUCCUAUUCUUAGUCUCAUAGCUGAUCCUAUUAUGAGUAUAAGAAGUAUAUAGUGAAUGCAGGAAUAGGCUGCAGUUUAUCACUGGCAGGAAAGCAAUAUAAAACAAGAAAAAAUUUCAUCACUAGUGUAGGUGGCCACUACACUAAUGAUGAAUAUCAAUACUAGUGUAGUACUAGUGUAUGAUGGGCAUUUAAAAUGCUCUCUCUCUUAAAAUCUAGAAUUGAAAAUGAUAAAAUGUUAGAAAAAAUGGUAGUGAAGGACUUUUGGAAAACCUUCAAUAUAUCAGCAAUAUAUAUUUCUUUUGGCAGAUGCCCUUCAUUUUUGGGGACAACAAUGAAAGGCAUCUGCCAAAAAACAAUCUAUGAUGACAAAAGUUUGCUCUUUCAUUACAGAUAUUCAGGACUCAAAUACCACUCUAAAAGUUGAUCCUGUUGCCUAAGCAACAAAAAUUUUGGGUAUUAUGG